GGGCCAGAAGACCCCAAAAGUGGAAAUCAUUGGGGUUGGGAGAUAUAGAUGACACCAGGAUGAAGUCGACCCCAAAAGGUUCCUCCUUGUUGGGUGUUAUUGGGGUUGGGGGCACGAGGAUGGGCCCGACCCCAAAAUCGUUGGGUGUUGGAUUUGGGGAGGGGGCCAGAAGACCCCAAAAGUGGAAAUCAGGGGGGUGGGAACUCAAAAAGUGACUCCAUGUUGGAUGCAGAUCCUCGAGAGGAAACCAGGAUGAAGUCGACCCCAAAAGGUUUCCCCUUGUUGGGUGUUAUUGGGGUUGGGGGCACUAGGAUGGGUUCGACCCCAAAAUCGUUGGGUUGAAUUUGGGGAGGGGGCCAGAAGACCCCAAAGUCGGAGAUCUGAUGGAUUCAACCCCAAAAUUUGAGGGUUUUUCCCCCCCUUCCACCCCUCCUUGUCUUCAAGGACCCCCGCUCCAAAAUUCCACGGGGGGGCAGCCCAAAACUCCUUUCCCAUUUCCUCUUUUCGCCUUUUUUCCUCCCAAAUUUUGGCUUUUCCCUCUUCCUUUUCCUCUUCCCCUCCCCCCCUAAAUUUGGCCUUUUCCAUUUUCUCCCUUUUUCCCCUUCCAUUUCUUCCAUUUUUUUCCCCAAUUUCUCCUUUUUUUUUUGUCUCCCAUUUCCUCCUUUUUUCCUUUUCCAUUUCCUCCUUUUUUCCUUUUCCAUUUCCUCCUUUUUUCCUUUUCCGUUUCCUCCCAUUUUUCCCCCCCAAAAUUCUGUUUUUUUCCACCUUCCAUUUCCUCCUUUUUCCCCAAUUUUGCCUUCUCCCAUUCCGUUUCCUCCUUUUUUCCUCUUCCAUUUCCUCCUCCUUUCACAAAUUCGCCUUUUUCCUUUUCCAUUUCCUUCCUCCCCCCAUUUUUUUCCUCCCAUUUCCUUUUUCCUCCCAUUUUUUCCCAAUUUCCUCCUUUUUUCCCCCAAUUUUGCCUAUUUCCUCUCCCAUUUCCUCCUUUUUUUCCUUUUCCACUUCCUCCUUUUUUUCCUUUUCCACUUCCUCCCUUUUUUCCUUUUCCAUUUCCUCCUUUUCCCCCCAAUUUUCUCCCAUUUCUUGCUCCCAGUCACAUGAAGUCGCCCCCAGUUCCUCCCAGUUGCUCCCAGUUACCCCUCCCAGUUUCUCCCAAUCCCUCCCAGUUGCCCUCAGUCCCUCCCAGUUACCCCUCCCAGUUUCUCCCAGUCCAUCCCAGUUGCCUCCAGUUAU
rnacentral:lncRNA from 1 species